CUCCCUGUUGCCUCCCCACUUUCCCACCGUCCUGUGGCCCUCUGGUCUCUCUCCUGCCCUCAUCCCCAUUUACCAGGCUCUUCUCUGAUCAGGAACCUCACUCUGGAGCCGGAGAUCUUUCCUGCUGCCACUGACAGCCGUUAUAUCCGAGCGGUGGGGAUCCCAGCUCUGGGCUUCUCGCCCAUGAACCGCACACCCGUGUUACUACAUGACCAUAACGAACGACUGCACGAGGCUGUGUUUCUACGUGGAGUUGACAUAUAUACACGCCUAGUUGCUGCACUUGCUAGUGUGCCCGCUCUGCCUGGUGAAAGCUGAGCCCCAGGCCUUCCAACCCUCAUAGCUUUCAGCCCAACCACUGCCAAGGAUCUGUUGCCCCCGCCCAGUAAUAAAGCCAGUGUUGAAUGGG
rnacentral:lncRNA from 1 species